GGUAGGGACUUCUAGAGAUAUAGGCGUUCCCCUUCGGGGGCCUAAGUGACAGGUGGUGCAUGGUUGUCGUCAGCUCGUGUCGUGAGAUGUUGGGUUAAGUCCCGCAACGAGCGCAACCCUUGACCUUAGUUGCCAGCAUUCAGUUGGGCACUCUAAGGUGACUGCCGGUGACAAACCGGAGGAAGGUGGGGAUGACGUCAAAUCAUCAUGCCCCUUAUGACCUGGGCUACACACGUGCUACAAUGGAUGGUACAAAGGGCAGCAAAACCGCGAGGUCGAGCCAAUCCCAUAAAACCAUUCUCAGUUCGGAUUGCAGGCUGCAACUCGCCUGCAUGAAGCCGGAAUCGCUAGUAAUCGCGGAUCAGCAUGCCGCGGUGAAUACGUUCCCGGGCCUUGUACACACCGCCCGUCACACCACGAGAGUUUGUAACACCCGAAGUCGGUGGGGUAACCGUUUGGAGCCAGCCGCCGAAGGUGGGACAGAUGAUUGGGGUGAAGUCGUAAAGGGGAAACCCGUA
rnacentral:rRNA from 1 species